rnacentral:rRNA from 1 species
GAUGAAUGCUGGCGGCGUGCCUAAUACAUGCAAGUCGAGCGAACAGAUAAGGAGCUUGCUCCUUUGACGUUAGCGGCGGACGGGUGAGUAUCACGUGGGUAACCUACCCAUAAGACUGGAAUAACUCCGGGAAACCGGGGCUAAUGCCGGAUAAUAUUUAGAACCGCAUGGUUCUAAAGUGAAAGAUGGCCUUGCUAUCACUUAUGGAUGGACCCGCGCCGUAUUAGCUAGUUGGUAAGGUAACGGCUUACCAAGGCAACGAUACGUAGCCGACCUGAGAGGGUGAUCGGCCACACUGGAACUGAGACACGGUCCAGACUCCUACGGGAGGCAGCAGUAGGGAAUCUUCCGCAAUGGGCGAAAGCCUGACGGAGCAACGCCGCGUGAGUGAUGAAGGUCUUCGGAUCGUAAAGCUCUGUUAUUAGGGAAGAACAAAUGCGUAAGUAACUGUGCGCGUCUUGACGGUACCUAAUCAGAAAGCCACGGCUAACUACGUG